CCCACUCUCAUUAUAAUGAGAUAAUACCAAUUUACUGUAUUAGUCCAUUCUCACACUGCUAUAAAGAACUGCCCGAGACUGCAUGAUUUAUAAAGAAAAGAGGUUUAAUUGACUCACAGUUCAGCAUGGCAGGCAAGGCCUCAGGAAAUUUACAAUUAUGGUGGAAGGCACCUCUUCACAGGGCAGCAGGAGAGAAAAGUGCUGAACAAAGGAGGAAAAGCCCCUUAUCACACCAUCAGAUCUCAUGAGAACUCAGUCACUAUCACAGAACAGCACGGGGGUAACUGCCCCAGUGAUUCAAUUACCUCCCACCAGGUCCCUCCCCUGACACGUGGGGAUGAUGGGAACUACAAUUCAAGAUGAGAUCUGGGUGAGAACAUAGCCAAACUAUAUCAUCUUCCCUAUGACUUUUCUUUCUCUUUACUUAAAGUAUCAGAAAAAUCAUAAAUCAGGAUCAACUUUGCUGGCAAGGAAGUUACUGAUGGCUUGCUUAUCUACAGAAGAAAGAAUGGCUGCCUGGAGGUUGGGGUGAAAAUAGAGGAUGUCUGUAAAUUGGCACAUGAAGCCUUUUCGGGGUGAUGGAAAUAUUCUAAAAUUGAAUUGUGGCAGUGGUUGCACAGCUCUAACAAUUGACUGAAAGUUACUGAAUUAUACACUUAUGACAAAAUGUUAUGGCACACUAAGUACCUCUUAAAACUUUCAUAAUAAGGAGAUUGUCACCAAUUAAAAGGUUAACACUUGGACGUGUAUGCUUACAAAGUUCUUUCAUUAGUGUUGGAGGUGGAUUACAGUCCUCUGGGAAAAUUUCCUUUAGUGUUUGCUCAUGCCGGUACCCACAAAUAGAGGUGUCUUCUCAGAUUCUCUUCUCAUGUCUAUGUUGUAAUUGCACUGCUUAAUCAAUGUGAGUAAAGGGGUGUCUGUCAUUCCAUGAAAAUCCAGCAUUUGCAUAUAUUCUCAAAUAUUAUGAGUUUCUUUUAAGUCCAACACUGUACUAGAUGCAUCAUAUAAAUUAUCACAGAUCCUUAACACAGUCGUCUUGGGCAGCCCUCAUUGUCCCCAUGUCGCAGGUUGGAAAAGUGUGCUCAGAAGAACUAAGUAAAUUGUUCAAGCUCUGAUUCUUUUCGCUAUUUACCAAUUUGUCACUUGGGCCUUGAAUAUAUUUUCUAUAACUCUGUAUUACAUUUUAAAAUGAAGUGUGGUAUGCUUUUACUGAUGUAGGAAAAAAACCAGUUUCCAACAUUUCCAAUGACCAUCUUUGUGUUUCAAUACUCCAGAAUGAAGUGAAGGUCUUUGGCUCCAAAAUAAUUGAAAGCUACUCCACUGUUUGGCAUGAACUUGUUCAUUACAGGUACAUUCACUUAACAGGCUCUCUUUCCACCCUUGUAGAAAUACAAAAAUAAGACUUAAUACAGACGAUGGCAUGGGCUUAGUAACUACCCCUUUACCCUUAAACAGCUCAUUGCCCCUUUACAGGGAAGGGCUAAGUACAGUGUACGGUUUUAUCACAUUCCAGUGUAAGAAAUGCAUCGUGAAAAGCAGAUGGAGAGGUGAUGCUGGAGAGAGAGUGCAUAGCUCUCAUGGAAAAAGUCUUGUAGGAUUUCUUAAACUGGUGAUCUCUAGCUAUUCUGUAAGAAUAAAAAGAAAUUUACGAUGCAGAUAUGAGGGAAACAUUUAGCAAGUGGUGAAUAGUAAAUGAAACUCCCAAUUGGCUUGUUUUUGAGGAAAUUCCAUGCUUAAUUGUGUGGGCUAUCAGUGCCAAAUCAUAACAAAGAUAGCACCACUUAAUAUAUUUACUUAAAGAGUCAAAGGCUUGAGUGUCCUUGAGAAAACCUCUACGUCAGCAGAAGUUCAAGUUUCAGCAAACAAUAUUAACAUCAAAUACCAGGUAGCUAUAGGUCGCCUUUCUCCCUGUUUGUGCCCCAUUAAGAAGGGAGGUAGGAGGAGAGCAUGGAUAUGACCAAACUCAAACUUAUUUCUUGGGAUUGUGAGUUUGCUGCCCCCUAACAGUGCUGGGAACAUAAUCCCUCACGAGGAGCAGAAACAUCUUGCAGUUUAUGUCCGUUUUUAUCCAUUGAUCUCCUGCUGUCGAUGUCUGACUUUUCGCUUUGUCUGUUUUAUCAGUGGGAGCUGAUGUCAACUCUUCAGAAAUGUCAAGGUUCUGCAAUUCUCAUAGAUUCCCAGGAGCUCGAAGUUCCCAAGUACGUCUUCCAGGGAUGAGCGGCACUCCAGGGAUGUUCACCUGCCAUGUACUACUUCAAUCUUACCACGGGGAUGAUGUUCACCUGGCAUGUACCACUUCAAUCUUACCGUGAGGAUGUUCA
rnacentral:lncRNA from 10 species